rnacentral:rRNA from 1 species
AUUGAACGCUGGCGGCAUGCUUUACACAUGCAAGUCGAACGGUAACAGGCCGCAAGGUGCUGACGAGUGGCGAACGGGUGAGUAAUGCAUCGGAACGUGCCCAGUCGUGGGGGAUAACGCAGCGAAAGCUGUGCUAAUACCGCAUACGAUCUAUGGAUGAAAGCGGGGGACCGUAAGGCCUCGCGCGAUUGGAGCGGCCGAUGUCAGAUUAGGUAGUUGGUGGGGUAAAGGCCUAACAAGCCGACGAUCUGUAGCUGGUCUGAGCGGACGACCGGCCACCCGGGGACUGAGACAAGGACCAGACUCCUACGGGAGGCAGCAGUAGGGAAUUUUUGACAAUGGGCGCAAACCUGGUCCAGCAAUGCCGCGGGCAGGAAGAAGGCCUUCGGGUUGUAAACUGCUUUUGUACGGAACGAAACGGUCUGGGUUAAUACCCUGGGCUAAUGACGGUACCGUAAGAAUAAGCACCGGCUAACUACGUGCCAGCCGCCGCAGUAA